GAGGUCAGUGAUGACAUAUUCUACAUUUCUGCUGUCAAACAUGAGCUGUAGGUUGUAUCCACUGUAUGAGUCCCCUUGAACCCUGAUGGAAACAUUUGACUCCCAUAUAAUAAAUAAUAUGUAUAAUACAAGUGUUAAUUCACUGUGGGUACAAGAGUUUCAGACCACUGUGAUAAGUGCAACACUUUAGAGGCUUGCCUUUAUAAUCGAGGCUACUACCUGUUUGCGCUAAUGAGGGCUUGAGGGACGUUCAUAACGUGUCUCAAACACAUCAUUAUUGGGGGAGGGUGUUCUACCGCUGAGUGAACUGUCUCUCUCCUUAGUUAUUUUUAGUUUUUUUUUUUUUAGGCUUUGUUUGACGGUAGGAAUCAGGGAGAUGGGUGAAGUGGAGGAGGGUGGAAAUGGGUAUCGAACCCCGCUCUCUGACGAGGAGACACCUUUUUGCGUUGAGCCGGGAGUGUCACCAUUGGGGGCCUAGAGGGCCGCACAAAACCCCCUAUUUUCAACCACAGAAUGGACACAUGGCCACAGAUGGGAGCAGAGUCGAGAUUAACGUGUGCUCACGCCUCCUGUUGUUUCAGACGGAACCUGAAACAGUGGAUUCCAACUCCACCAUUACUCGCCACGUGUAAUGCACGUUUGUUUUGGUCCCGGAUAAACAUACCAAUUCCCAUCUAAUUUACACGGCCUGCUGAUAUGUUCACAGGUUGAACAGGUGUUUUUGUGUUGAGGAAGAAAUUCGCCAGAGAGGGAGAUGUUGGAUAUUAUGCCUUUGCCCAGCCUAGAACAAGGCAGUACUGUGGUGAAAGAAUACCAAGAGAUUCUGGUCAACAACAAUGUAAACUGUGUGUGUCUGUCUGUCUGUGUGUGUGUGUGGAAGACAGCUGGUGCGUCCCGUUAUUCUCUUAUCUGUGCUCCUACUCCCAUGGUCUGUAAGAGUGAAUGGUAUUUUUAUCUCCUGUGGAGGACAGAUUAACAGCCUGUUUCCUUGACUCUCCUGAAGGAGUAUAUGUAUCCACAUUACCUAGGGGGAGGGUGGGAACCUCAGGAUGGUUGCAUUAUGAUGUGUAACUCCGUUCUUUCCCCUGGGCUCUGGGGGAAAAAAAGAAAAGAAUAAUUGACUUCAGAAACACUAGCCUUGAUUUCUUUUAAUUAGGAAUACUGGGACGCUGCCAGGAUUAGACUCAAAGGUUACAUGUCACACACAACUUACAGUUCAGACACACUGACAGAAGGGAGGGCUGAGUCGGUCUAAGUUCUUGCAGGGUGUAGUGUAUAUUUCUAGUUAAAGAAAUGAAGGUGAUUGUCUCUGAGUCACUGAUUCUUUUAUUCCAAGCUGGUUGUUGGUGCCAGACGGGCCGGUCUGAGUAUUUAACAAUCUGCUCAGUUACUGGGAUUUUCACGCACAACCAUUUCUAGGGUUUACAAAGAAUGGUGUGAAAAGGUGUGGAAAAACAUCCAGUAUGCGGCAGUCCUGUGGGCGAAAAUGCCUUGUUGAUGCUAGAGGUCAGAGGAGAAUGGGCCGACUGAUUCAAGCAGAUAGAAGAGCAACUUUGACUGAAAUAACCACUCGUUACAACUGAGGUAUGCAGCAAAGCAUUUGUGAAGCCACAACACGCACAACCUUGAGGCGGAUGGGCUACAACAGCAGAAGACCCAACCGGGUACCACUCAUCUCCACUACAAAUAGGAAAAAGAGGCUACAAUUUGCACGAGCUCACCAAAAUUGGACAGUUGAAGACUGGAACAAUGUUGCCUGGUCUGAUGAGUUUCGAUUUCUGUUGAGACAUUCAGAUAGUAGAGUCAGAAUUUGGCGUAAACAGAAUGAGAACAUGGAUCCAUCCUGCCUUGUUACCACUGUGCAGGCUGGUGGUGGUGGUGUAAUGGUGUGGGGGAUGUUUUCUUGGCACACUUUAGGCCCCUUAGUGCCAAUCGGGCAUCGUUUAAAUGCCACGGCCUACCUGAGCAUUGUUUCUUACCAUGUCCAUCCCUUAAAUGACCACCAUGUACCCAUCCUCUGAUGGCUACUUCCAGCAGGAUAAUGCACCAUGUCACAAAGCUCGAAUCAUUUCAAAUUGGUUUCUUGAACAUGACAAUGAGUUCACUGUACUGAAAUGGCCCCCACAGUCACCAGAUCUCAACCCAAUAGAGCAUGGGAUGUGGUGGAACGGGAGCUUCGUGCCCUGGAUGUGCAUCCCACAAAUCUCCAUCAACUGCAAGAUGCUAUCCUAUCAAUAUGGGCCAACAUUUCUAAAGAAUGCUUUCAGCACCUUGUUGAAUCAAUGCCACGUAGAAUUAAGGCAGUUCUGAAGGCGAAAGGGGGUCAAACACAGUAUUAGUAUGGUGUUCCUAAUAAUCCUUUAGGUGAGUGUAUGUUCUGGACUUUCAGUCAAGUUUACAUGAACUGCUCCACAGCAGUUUUUUGUUUUUGUUGCAUUCCUCUAAGCCCCCUUUCCCAUCUUGCUUAAGAAACAAAUCCAGUGUGUAAUAAUGUUUUUCGGCAAAGGAAACGCAUGAGUAAACUUUAUGCAUAGCCAAGUAACCUGGGGCAGAGACAUGGUCUUAUCUUUUGCUCUUGUCUGAGGCUGGUGGGGUAAAAAAGUGUUACUGUUUAGGGUGGAGUUGGAAACCAAUGGUAUACAAGGUUUUGGGGCGGGGGUUCCAGCUUAAAAAAAGACCAGCUUUGGCGUGGUCUAUAGACUGUUGUCAUACAGGCAGUGAUUUACCUGUACAAUGUAAGCACAAGUCAGUACACAAUCACUGACUAGCCUAAUACAGCAGCAUGCGUACAACAAAUACUUAUUCAAGCUAAUAUGUGUGCAUCCUCUGUUUGUUGGCUGUGGUUGCAUAGAAAAUCCAUCACCCUCACUUUGUGUCUGAGUGGAAGCAGAGCACUGAGCUGUCCAAGAUGGCUCGGCCUCUUAUGGAGAUGGCUCAAAUACUGGAGAACAAGGAAGGAACCGGGGACGUGCAGGUGCUGAGGUUGGAUGCUGCUAUGUUUGAGGAGGUCACAGCCCACAGUGAGAGUGAUGUUCUCAUCCUGUUGCGUGCUAUCAAGACCGAACAAAAGCGGACGGUGACCCAGGGCCAAUCGGAGGAGGCUUUAGCCGGUUCUGAGUGUUCACUCGUCCCGUCACAGAGAACUGUGAUAUCCCCCGGGAGGCUCCCGGUCCAGCUGGAGAAGGCUGCUGUCCAAAUUGACAGCCAGAGGGGAGGGUUUGUCCACAGAAGCAACCCCCUGCUUGGUGCUUCAGUAAAGCGUCCUGCAUCAGCCUUACCAUGGCCGCACGACAACGGUCUUUCCCUGAUCCAUGAUGACGUCACAGACGGAGGUCAGGUGUUACCGGGCGGGUCUGUGGGGGAGGGGUUUGGACAAGACGGAGUUCCUGCGAAGCUUAUUCGUUGUGAGCCGGUGUUCAAGGUGAGUCUGCCUUUGACUGAUGGCCCCCUGCUGCUGGAGAGGAAUUCCUUUAGCCUGGAACCCUCCCCCGCCUCCCCCGCCUCCCCCAUACACUCACCCGUUCACUCAACCAGCGUAGGUGCCUCGCCCCAGCCCCCUUCCACAUCCUUGCAUUCAGUUGGUCAGCCAAGAAACAGAGCUGCAACGGGACCUGGAAACACACAGAUAGUUGAAUAUAAACGCACUGUCAAUGCCAGAGUCGACACAGCCAGACACAAUCAACAGCUGACUAGGGGAGAGGAACAGAGGGCAACUGACCACGGCCUGUACAUCGGGAGAGAUCAGGACAGAGCUGACCGUCUGUUUUCAAAGAAUACCAGAUUCACCGAUACAAAGUUCGGUGUCCGCGUGAUACAGGACCACAGACUGCGCAGUACUGACCCUGGUGCUGGAGAUACGAUCGCUGACUUAGUGUCUGCUGCCCAACCGAUUUUCCUUACUACUGGUCAUCACUCGGGUUGUGUGGAAGAGGAGAGCUUGACCAACAGUCCUCCAAUGGAUGAAGAACAGGAGGAAGUGAAAGGGAAUAUUUGUCAUUCUGCUAGGGGACAGAGGCUUGCAGAGGACCACAGGACAACAGACUGUCUGUAUUCUACUGGAGAGAGGAUAGCUGACAGUGGGUAUUCCACAGGAAGCAAGUCAAUUGACAGAAUGUACCAAACAGUAGAAAGAUCAACUGACAGUCAGUUCUUUAUAGCAGAAGCGACGUCUGAUCGUGGGUACUCAACUGGAGUGGCGCUUACUGAACGGGGGUACUCAGGAGUGGGGCUAACUGAACGGGGGUACUCUACAGGAGUGGGCCUAACUGAACGGGGGUACUCAGGAGUGGGGCUAACUGAACGUGGGUACUCUUCAGGAGAGGGGCUAACUGAACGGGGGUACUCAGGAGUGGGGCUAACUGAACGGGGGUACUCAGGAGUGGGGCUAACUGAACGGGGGUACUCUUCAGGAGAGGGGCUAACUGAACGGGGGUACUCUUCAGGAGAGGGGCUAACUGAACGGGGGUACUCAGGAGUGGGGCUAACUGAACGUGGGUACUCUUCAGGAGAGGGGCUAACUGAAUGGGGGUACUCUUCAAGAGAGGGGCUAACUGAACGGGGGUACUCUUCAGGAGUGGGGCUAACUGACUGUGAGGUUUUAGAGGAAGAAAAGGGUUUCAGAGAUGAAAUGCAGAAAGGAUGUGGACUUAUUGUAGAGGUCAUGGUGGGGAACCAUAGACGGGGAAGAAAAAGUGAAAAGAAAAAAAGAAAGAGGGAGAAAUCGAACUUUUACAGAAAACAGUACUUUAAAUUGCAGCCUCCAAAACUGCACCAGGCACAGGGUUUCACAGGAGCUCAUAACGGUGCCUCAGGGCUUUGCAUGGUUGACACAGUAGAUCUCCAACAUGGCAUAGCCACCUAUAGAGACCAGACAGAGCCAGUCUACCACAGAGCAGACAUGAGCAGUCAUAAUGAUGUCAUAAGUAGACCUAUGAGUGACCUAGCAGCAAUGUCACAGGUACACUUGGAGUGCAGAAGAUCCUGGCACUAUGAAGGCACACAGCUGACCGCUGAUACUUACAGAACCGGGCCAUGUGAGUAUGAGACCCACCCUAAUCACUCUAACCCUGACCGGUUCAGACCCGAGCCCCUCCGGUACCCGCAUCAUGCUCUGGCCCCAGGGACUAGACCCCAUCUUGACUCUGGUCCUUUCCCCGUGAAGAUUGGGGGCGUUCAGACACCAGGUUAUGAUGGGUUUCCCCGGGCCCUGUCUGUGACGGCUUCUUCACCCCGCCACCCUUGGCCCUGUGAAGUGGAAGGUUAUGGCCCGGCCCCGUCUGACCCAUACCCGCUCCCGAGCCAUGAUCGUUACAGAGAGGUGGCCCGGGGCCACGGGCCUGCCACGUUUCAGUGGACUUUUUCAGCACCACCCCGGUUCUAGCUACCACACGUGUUUUGUAUUUCAUUUACACUAGUCGUUCUCCGACCACUCCUCAGGACGCCCAGAUGUCUCGCAAUUCCUUUUUAACGCUGAACUAGGGACUAGUUGAAAAAUGCAAACUGGUCAAAACUGUAACAUUUGCUGAACAUUUACAUUGCUGUGCAAUGUGCAUGAAAAGUAAAUGAUGAUAAUUAACUAGCUAACCUGAAUUAUAUAGCUGAUAAUGAGUUUACAGAGGUGGCCUGCAGUACGUCAAAUACGUGGAAUGGCUGGGGUGCCCAGGAAACGUUUGAAAACCACUCCUUAAGUUUCACUUUAUGUUGGUUAAAAUGGGCAGGUGUUUUGUGUGUUUGUUUUAUACACUGGAUUUCACCCUGUAAAUGUGAUUUGGAUUUCAUGCCUUCUUGAUUCUUUUAGCUUUUCUGUGUGGGAACGUAUUUUUGUAUGCCGAAUGAAGAUGGAGUUAUAAAAAAAGCAUUGAAUAGUGCCUCAGUAUUUGUCUGUUGUUAAGCCUAUGUGAGCACAUUCUUAGUUUGACAUGCUGUUUAAAGAAUAUGAUACAGAAUAUGCUACGGAGCUGAUCUAUGUUGAAAUUCAGCAAUUUUGCUAAAAUGUUAAAAGGUAAUUGAGGAGAAAUGUUAUUGGGUCUAUUCUAUAGGUUGAAUAUUGAUCUUUCUUGAAGUCCUGAGGGAAGCUUCACCAUGUACAUACAUUUUUAAUUUGGAUCAGCUGAGGAAUCAGCUUGAGGUUCAGUGUGUUGAACAUGUUAUGGACAACACAGGUUUUUUAACUUUCAUUUUCUUACCAAGUAACUUGUCUAUGAGGUUAUAUUAUAUUCAGCAAACAUCCAUGUUGAGCAAUUUCAUAUGGUUAAUUUGCUCAUGUGAAGAUUUUUUCUUUGUAAUUUACAAGUUCCGCACCACCCUGUAAAGUGAUUUGAGGAUUUAUUCUUGUUUGUUUUUUUGUCACUUGUGUGUUGUCACUUGGCCUGUUCUCAAUUGUUCUCCUUACCUCGCCUCCUGAAAACCAGUUUGUAGAGAAGGGCAGGACAUAUGACUUCUCAGCCAGAUGGGGUGCAGAGGCUAUUGUUAAAUAGCAGUUGACCAAACUAAAGCUUCUCACCGCCCAAUAUAUGUUUGUGAAGAACACACUGAAUUGAAGUAAAAUUUUCUAGCAGUUCCUAAUAAAGACUUGAAUAACAC
ensembl:lncRNA